GUGAAUCAUCGAAUUUUUGAACGCAAAUUGCACUCUCCGGUUUUCCGGGAGAGUAUGCCUGUUUGAGGUUAAUCCUAAAAAAAAUCGACAUUGUUGCUGCUAUCUAAGGGUGACUUUCGUCGGAGAUUGGGUUCUCUUACACCUAUUUUUUUUUUUUUGUUUAUGCACCUUUAAAUUUUAUUUUUCGAUUCCUUAAAUGUUACAAAGUUUU
rnacentral:misc_RNA from 1 species